rnacentral:tRNA from 1 species
ACGGGUGUAGCUCAAUUGGCUAGAGCACUGGACUCCAAAUCCAGGUGCUGCGGGUUCAAGUCCUGCCACCCGUG